rnacentral:tRNA from 1 species
GCCUUCGUGGUGUAGUGGUCAGCACGCUGGGUGCGUAUUCCAGAGGUCCGUGGUUCGAGUCCCGGCGAAGACU